CUGUUUCAAGACUAAGCCAUGCACGUCUAGUACAAACUAAAUGAUGGUGAAACUGCAAAUGGCUCAUUACAACGGUUAUGAUGUACCCGGGAGUUCCGAUGGAUAUUUCCAGUAACACUAGAACUAAUACAUGUCCCUGCGUUUAUUAGUUUCGCACAGUCCGUCGCUGAGUCAUGGUAAACAGUUGAUCGACUCGACGUCCCGGAACAGUUUCCGCCCCAUCAGCUUCGAUGGUUGGGUAUUGGCCUACCAUUGCAACAACGGGUAACGAGGAAUUAGGGUUUGAUUUCGGAGAGGGAGCCUGAGAAACGGCUACCACAUCUACGGAUGGCAGCAGGCGCGCAAAUUACCCAAUGCAGACACUGUGAGGUAGUGACGAGAAAUAAUAAAGCGGGACUUCUGUUUCGCUAUUAUAAUGAGGAAUAACCAAAGGUCAUUCCGAUUAGCAACUGAUGGGAAAGUCUGGUGCCAGCAGCCGCGGUAAUACCAGCGUCAGUAGC
rnacentral:rRNA from 1 species